UGAUAAUGCCAGCACUAAAGCACCGGAUCCCAACAGAACUCCGAAGUUAAGCGUGCUUUAGAGAGAGUAGUACUGUUAGGACUCUAGCUUGGAGAGUCCUAAUUG
rnacentral:rRNA from 15 species